CCAGUUCUCGUCCGAUCACUGAAGUCAAGCAACAUCGGGCGCGAUUAGUACUUAGAUGGGUGACCGCUUGGGAACGUCGCGUGUCGUUGGCC
rnacentral:rRNA from 1 species